UUGACUGCCCAGUCUGGGCAGCGGGAGCGCCGGGCCGACUCCACACUGUCUCGCGGGGGUGGGAGGCGGGCGACGGGGCGCAGCGCGCACGGCCAUUCGCUCGCCAGCGCUAAGACGCGCUCCAAAAAGGUCGUUCUCCAGGCGGUGCAGGCUUUACCCCAGUUCCCACUCGCGUCCGCAGGGGCUUCGGGGUCCCCCAGCGCCCUUCAGGGAAGGACGGGGCGGGGCGAGGAGGCCCGGGGGCGGGGCGAGGAGGCCCGAGGCCCUUUCAUUUUCCCUUUGGUUCUUCCUAAGAGUCUCGGAGUUUUGAGCCUGUGAGUAGAGGGCGGUGUCCGCGCCGCGCCCCUCUCCUCCUCUCCCGCGGCUGCAGACUCGCGGGGCACGGCGCCUCCUCGGCCCUCUCACGGGCCGUUGCCCAGUGGCCUUGACCCGUGUGGCUCCCCUGCAGACGCUCUGACGGGUCGACUCACACCCUGGAAGCGAAUGAGCUGCUGGGAUGCCCCGCGACCAAGAAGCCGCCUGCGCUAUGCAAUCCCCGCCCGACUGGCCCCCGGCCGCCGGCGCCCUGCGGCCCUCGCCCUUCCCGCACCCGGUGCUGCACACCCUCCACGACCUGGCCCGCGCGCUGCUCUUCCCGGCCUACUGGGCCGCAGACCAGCUGCUGGGCUACUGGGCGCCGGCGGCGCGCACCCGAAGCCUGGGGUGGCUGAGCUCGGCGGCGGGCGCUGGGGCAGCGCUGCUGCUGCUGCUCGCCUGCCUGCCCCUGGCGCUGCCCGGCCUCCUGCUCUGGCUACCGCUGCAGCCCUGGCGCCGGCCCUUCUGCUACCAGCCCCCUCCGCAGUGCUGGACGCCGCCCGCGCUUUGGCGCCCGCCCGCUGAUCCCACGCGCUGCUUCGGCUUUCUCAGCGCCAACCUGUGCCUGCUGCCCCACGGGCUGGCGCGCUUCAGCAACCUACCGCACAGCCAGCGGCGGGCCGCGGCCGUGGGCGCCACGCUGCUCGCCGGCCUGCGGCCCGCGCGCUACGGGGCCACAGGCUGUAGCCUGCCGCCAUCCGAGGCACCGUGCGGGGUGCUGGUGGCCGCGGUGCCCGCGGGCCUGGACUUCGUGUGCCUGCAGGAAGUGUUCGAUCUGCGCGCCGCGCGCCGCCUGGUGCACCUCCUGGCCCCCAAUCUGGGCCCGGUGCUGUACGACGUGGGCGCGCUCGGCCUGCAGCCUGGGCCGCAUCUCAAGCUGCUGGGCAGCGGGCUGCUGCUGGCCUCGCGCUACCCGCUGCUGCGCGCCGCCUUCCGGGCCUUCCCCAACGCGCGCCGCGAGGACGCGCUGGCCUCCAAGGGGCUGCUGUCAGCACAGGCGCAGCUGGGCCUCCUGGACGGGCGCCGAGUCGUGGGCUUCCUGCACUGCACUCACUUGCAUGCGCCGAGUGAAGACGGGGCCUUGCGAUGCGAGCAGAUGGCGCUGGCGCUGGACUGGGCCGAGGAGUUCGAAGCCGAGAGCCGCCCAGGGGCCCGAGGCCGAGGCCGUGGCCUUCAGCGUGCUGCUGGGGCGACCUCAACUUCGACAACUGCUCGCCACGGACGCUGCUCAGCAACCACUGCGCUCCACCACUCGGUGGCCCUUUCCCCGGAGAUGCUGCGGAGGGCCCUGGAGCAGGAGGGAGGGACGCCUCCUGUACCUGGCAGGCCCUCCCCGCGGAAACCGCCCUGAGCCCUGGCGGGGUCGGCGCCUGGAUUACAUCACAUACCGGGAGGCGCCCGGGAGCCCGCUGAGCCCGGAGGUGGAGCAGAUGGCCUUCAGCACCGCCCUGGCCGGGCUCUCGGACCACCUGGCCGUGGGGCUGCGACUCCGAGUGUCAGUGUCGGCGCCCCCGUGACCCAGAAACUCAGGCGACAGGCAGGCAGCCCGAUGGAAAGACAGACGCCAAAGCAGGAGCUCGGCAGGAGUCGCCGCGCCGGGGAAGGGGGCGACUUCGGAGCCCUUUAUUGUGGGGGCCUUCACACAGCCUCCUGCGCCCGGCGGUACUCGUAGACGCUGCCACGCUCGGGGAAGGCUGGGGCCUGCGGGGGCGACCCCGGCGGUGGGGCGGGGUCUUCCGGGUCCCCGUAGCCCCCGCCGCCGGGCGUGUGGAGGCAGAACACGUCCUGGGGGACAGAGAAACGGGCUCAACGCGGGCGUGGACCCCUCCAGCCUCCCGUCUCCCGCACCCCACUCCCCGCGCGCGCAGCUCUCUCCAUCCGCAGCCAAAUUAAAGUCGGUAAACUGGUCA